rnacentral:rRNA from 1 species
UACGUAGGGUGCGAGCGUUUGUCCGGAAUUAUUGGGCGUAAAGAGCUUGUAGGUGGUUUGUCGCGUCUGCUGUGAAAAUCCGAGGCUCAACCUCGGACUUGCAGUGGGUACGGGCAGACUAGAGUGUGGUAGGGGAGACUGGAAUUCCUGGUGUAGCGGUGGAAUGCGCAGAUAUCAGGAGGAACACCGAUGGCGAAGGCAGGUCUCUGGGCCAUUACUGACACUGAGAAG